GUGACAGUUUGCACGUCUGUUCUAGAGUCUGGGUUCCCACUGUGGGAGAAAAGAUACCCACGACCUCCAGAUUCCCCCUUUUCUUGGCAAUAGCAGUGUUGCAAAACUCUGAAAAAGCCACCCCUUCUUUUACCACCUUGGCUGGGAAACAAAGAGGCUCUGCACAUCCCCCUGCUCUUCUUGCUCCCUUUUCCUGCCUUCCCCAGCCCACUCAUGCACAGCUGCCCCUCAACCUCUGGCCUCCCCGCCUGGAGGUUGUUUGUGACAUCAUCCUGGAGUGAAAUCUGACCAGAAUCCUACUCCAGAGUGAGAGAGUAGCCGUCAGGCCUGGGAAGGAGGGAGGGUCUCAACCCAGGAGAACUCCAGUGGCUAAGAUGGCUGGGCCCUCUCUCCUGCUCAGGCCAGGUGCUGUGUGCAGAGCAAGAGCUUCUGAGAAGGGGAGUGGAUGGAGCUUGCCCGGCAAAGCCAGAAUGAUUUAGUGCAGGGCCCUUUACACUCUUUCAAAAGGCACUGAGUGCCUGCUGCAUGCUAGGCCUGUUCUAGGCAGCAGGGACACAGAGGUGAGGGUGUAUGGGGUCAUGAUUUCAGGGAACUGACCUUUUAGAAAAAGGAGCCAGAGAGACCAUGAAUAAACAGGAAACACCAGAUGGUAAGGGUAAUGCGCCUGACUAGGCCAAUCUUCCACUCUAGGGCAGGAGAGUGUUAAAAUACGGUGAUGUGACAAUGACAGGUGAUUGCCUUAGAGGAUAUGACCAAAGCAAACCUCUCUGAUAAACCUCCCCUGAGAUCUGAAUGACAAAGACCUAGUUAUGUGAAAAUCAAGGGGAGCCAUGUGCUAGGCAAAGAGAAGAUCACAUGCAAAAAUCCAACGAGGGCAAUAAGUGUAGCUCCUCAAUUUCCUGGAUACCCCUCCAUCUGCCUAUCUCCUCCUCCAUCCUGCCCCCCCACAGAGUUAUGUGGGAGCUUGUCCACAGUUUGCUUCAGUUGAACAGGUGGAGUUCCUGCCUUAUUCAUCUAAGUAUCACCGGUGCUUAUCAAAAGUGCCUGGAAGGCACUGUGCAAAUGUCAAAUAAAUGAACGCACGGAUGAAAGAAAUGAUUCGUGAAUUCAGUAAUUCAUCCGACUAACAUUUACUGAGCACGUGCUUCAUGCCAGGUUCCAUUUAGGAGGCUGAGGAUAGAGAUGGACAAGGCGGAAUUUAUCCCUGACUCCAGGGAACUUGGGUUUAAAGAGAGAAGACAGUGUAUUAAAGCAGAUAAUUUUAGAAGGGAGCGACCCUGUGAGGGGAAUCAAAACCAGGUCAGGCCAUGAGAAGAGGACUGGCCGUUACUUUAGGUCGUGUGGUCAAGGGAAAGCAUGUCUGAGGAGGUGAGCCUGGGGACGCCGGAGCCGGUCCCGACGACUGGAGGUGGCACCCUAGGGGGAAGAGGUAGGUGGACGGGUGGUGAGCACGCGGGCGGCAGCGUGCACCCAGGGGAGCAGC
rnacentral:lncRNA from 1 species